CUACGGGCUGCACCAGUGGGGAAUAUUGCACAAUGGACGAAAGUCUGAUGCAGCAACGCCGCGUGGAGGAUGACACAUUUCGGUGCGUAAACUCCUUUUAUAUAGGAAGAUAAUGACGGUACUAUAUGAAUAAGCACCGGCUAACUCCGUGCCAGCAGCCGCGGUAAUACGGAGGGUGCAAGGGUUACUCGGAAUUACUGGGCGUAAAGAGCGUGUAGGCGGGUUUGUAAGUUGGAUGUGAAAUCCUAUGGCUCAACCAUAGAACUGCAUCCAAAACUGCUUACCUAGAAUAUGGGAGAGGUAGAUGGAAUUUCUGGUGUAGGGGUAAAAUCCGUAGAGAUCAGAAGGAAUACCGAUUGCGAAGGCGAUCUACUGGAACAUUAUUGACGCUGAGACGCGAAAGCGUGGGGAGCAAACAGGAUUAGAUACCCCGGUAGUC
rnacentral:rRNA from 1 species